rnacentral:misc_RNA from 1 species
UCAAGGACUUGGUGGGCUUGAAUUACUGGCGACCAGUGAACCACCAAAAGCUGCAGCUGGAGCCACUGCUGAGGGUGCUGGGAAGAAUCUUGAGGAUAUUUUGGUGAAGAAAAUGAAUGGUCCAGAAAUGUUUAUUACCGAGGAGAUCAGUGCCGAGUUCAGAGAAUCAUUGCUUGCUAGAGUUGGUUUGAUGGGCAUUGUUUACUUAAGAACCCUGCCGCCAAAGUCUUCCGAUGAUAAGGAAACUGAGUUUUCUUUCAAGGUUGAAGACACUGCUGCUGUUAAAAGGUUUGUCAUGCAAAAUUCUCGUGUGAGCAGCCUUGGGAAUGGUCUGUUUCAUGUAAAGACAGCACCAUCAAAUGAGCCUAUACCAAUUAUUAAGUACAGUUUGCUACCGCGUUUAACUCCGUUGCCUUUGAGGAUUCGACUUGUUAAGCGUCUUAGCGGGUCAUUACUUUCUGUAAUGCUGCAGUACGUUGCAAAUCCUGAUAUUCCAGUUCCAUUAACCGAUGUGACCUUUGUCCUGAAAUUGCCAGUGGACCCAACAUUAUUGAAAGUUUCACCUAAAGCUGUGUUGAACCGCUCUGAGAGAGAACUGAAAUGGCAUGUUGAUGAGAUUCCGCUCAAGGGUCAUCCUGGCAAAUUGAAGGCGAGGUUCCCCAUUGAUAUUAAUGAUGAUGAUGAUGUGGUAGAGCUAGAGCUUUUUGGUUAUGUAAAGUUUUCAUCCCAAGGAACUAGAUCUUUGUCUGGCAUUUCUCUGCAGCCGGCUUUAGAGGGCAAGACUGAUUUUUAUGAGGUUGAUCACAGGUAUUCAAGUGGAGUUUACACAUGCAACUAAGCAUCAAUGACUUCUUUUCUUGGUUUAAAAUUUGUGUGUCUUUGUGCUUUCUAUAUUUUAACAUCGUAUGAGUUAUCAAAGUAUUUGCAGCUUUCUUUGAAUGUACUAGCAUGUAAUUUAGAUGAUCUUGUUGUUGAGGAAUUUUGUUUAAAUCUUCCCAGUCUUUUUCUUUAUGUAAUGGAACAAAAGAUUUUUUUAUAUCUG